rnacentral:rRNA from 1 species
UACGGAGGGUGCAAACGUUGCUCGGAAUUAUUGGGCGUAAAGCGCACGUAGGCGGCUCCUCAAGUCGGAUGUGAAAGCCCUGGGCUCAACUCAGGAAGUGCAUCCGAAACUGUGGAGCUUGAAUGCCGGAGGGGCACAGAGAAUUCCCGGUGUAGAGGUGAAAUUCGUAGAUAUCGGGAGGAAUACCAGUGGCGAAGGCGCUGGGCUGGACGGUCAUUGACGCUGAGGUGCGAAAGCGUGGGGAGCAAACAGG